GAUGAACGCUGGCGGCGUGCCUAAUACAUGCAAGUCGAGCGAACGGACGAGAAGCUUGCUUCUCUGAUGUUAGCGGCGGACGGGUGAGUAACACGUGGAUAACCUACCUAUAAGACUGGGAUAACUUCGGGAAACCGUAGCUAAUACCGGAUAAUAUUUUGAACCGCAUGGUUCAAAAGUGAAAGACGGUCUUGCUGUCACUUAUAGAUGGAUCCGCGCUGCAUUAGCUAGUUGGUAAGGUAACGGCUUACCAAGGCAACGAUGCAUAGCCGACCUGAGAGGGUGAUCGGCCACCCUGAAACUGAGACACGGUCCAGCCCCCUACGGGAGGCAGCAGUAGGAAUUCUUCCGCAAUGGGCGAAGGCUGACGGAGCAACGCCGCGUGAGUGAUGAAGGUCUUCGGAUCGUAAAACUCUGUUAUUAGGGAAGAACAUAUGUGUAAGUAACUGUGCACAUCUUGACGGUACCUAAUCAGAAAGCCACGGCUAACUACGUG
rnacentral:rRNA from 1 species